AGAAGAAGAAAAAAAAAAGGCAAAAAAAA
rnacentral:sRNA from 1 species